AGAAAGAAAGAAAGAAAGAACAUGUGGAAAAUCAGGCUGUUGCUAGAUAUUAAAAGAACAACAGCAAGGAUUAAGCACCAAGAAUGGCGUUCUUGGGGCCCAGCUUAGAGGUUACAAAAACACUUGUGCUUCAGGGCAGGGC